UGGGGGGUACUGCCUGCCCAGUGAGUUUUAAACGGCCGCGGUACCCUGACCGUGCAAAGGUAGCAUAAUCCCCAGUCCCCUAAAUAGGGACCAGUAUCAAUGGCAAGACGAGGCCCUAACUGUCUCCUUACUUUAAUUUUAAACUUCUUUAGUCGUGCAAAAGCGACCAUUAAAGCGUAAGACGAGAAGACCCUGUCGAGCUUUAGUUUAAGAACAAUCAGUUUUAAAAAGAAUGUUUGCUGUUUCACAACUAAAUUUUUUCUUUUAUUGUCUCAAAUUCUUUAGUUGGGGCAACUGCGGAGAAAAAACAUCCCCCGCAAUUAAUUUUAAGAUUUCAAAUCUAAACUUAAAUAAUAAUUUGAUCCAGAAUUUUUGAUUAAUGAAACAAGUUACCGCAGGGAUAACAGCGUAAUGCCUUUCAAGAGUUCACAUUGUCAAAGGAGUUUGCGACCUCGAUGUUGGAUCGGGUCAUCCUAACGGUGCAGCCGCUGUUAAGGGUUGGUCUGUUC
rnacentral:rRNA from 1 species